rnacentral:lncRNA from 1 species
AUAAGGUUCUAUCUUUUUAAAAUAAAUGGGUUCCUAUUUUGUGUCAGGAUAGUACCUAUAUAAAGGGUAUUUCUUUAGGGUUCCUAGCUAAUAGAGUUUUUGGUGAAACAAACUCUUCUCUCUCCCUUCUUCACACCUCCUCUCCUCCCUCUUUUCUCUUCGACACCCAAGAGUUGGGCGUUCUCUCUUCCAUAUGACAAGAGGUAGUGCUUUGUGACUUCAAGAGUAAAGAUCAAGGAGAAGAAGAAGAAGGCUGCUGAUUAAGGAGUUGAUCCCACAGUC